AGAGUUUGAUCCUGGCUCAGAACGAACGCUGGCGGCGUGCUUAACACAUGCAAGUCGAGUGCGCGUACCGUAGCAAUACGGUAUGGCGCACGGCGCACGGGUGCGUAACACGUGGGCAAUCUGCCCUUCGAUGGGGAAUAUCUUCGGGAAACCGAAGCGAAUUCCGCAUAACAUUCCUUGGACUCCGGUUCGAGGACUCAAAGCCGUAAGGCGUCGAAGGAGGAGCCCGCGCACGAUUAGCUAGUUGGUAGGGUAACGGCCUACCAAGGCUUUGAUCGUUAGCUGGUCUGAGAGGAUGGCCAGCCACACUGGAACUGAGACACGGUCCAGACUCCUACGGGAGGCAGCAGUGGGGAAUCUUGCACAAUGGGCGAAAGCCUGAUGCAGCGACGCCGCGUGGGGGAUGAAGCAUCUCGGUGUGUAAACCCCUUUCGACC
rnacentral:rRNA from 1 species